CGGAGAAGGGAACAGUAGGUAAUUAGGAAAAGAAUCACAAAUGACUGAUGACCAAGGAAAAUAUCAUAGAGGUGCGGGUGUGUAUGUAGGAAAAUCUCAUAGAAGUGUUGGUCAAUGUGGGAAUAAGAAAAUGACAACGCACCAACGCAGUCAAUCAAAGUUCAAUGAUAGUCCUAUAGCGCAUAUGGAAGCGAAAUCUUGCUAAACGAGUACA